rnacentral:rRNA from 1 species
AAGCUCGUAGUUGAACCUUGGGCCUGGUUGGCCGGUCCGCCUCACCGCGUGUACUGGUCCGAUCGGGUCUUUCCUUCUAGGGAACUGCAUGCCCUUCACUGGGUGUGUCAGGGAACUAGGACUUUUACUUUGAAAAAAUUAGAGUGUUCAAAGCAGGCCUAUGCUCGAAUACAUUAGCAUGGAAUAAUAGAAUAGGACGUGUGGUUCUAUUUUGUUGGUUUCUAGGACCGCCGUAAUGAUUAAUAGGGACAGUCGGGGGCAUCAGUAUUCAAUUGUCAGAGGUGAAAUUCUUGGAUUUAUUGAAGACUAACUACUGCGAAAGCAUUUGCCAAGGAUGUUUUCAUUAAUCAGGAACGAAAGUUAGGGGAUCGAAGACGAUCAGAUACCGUCGUAGUCUUAACCAUAAACUAUGCCGACUAGGGAUCGGAUGAUGUUAAUUUUUUAAUGACUCAUUCG